GGGGAUAGACUCUACUGAUAUUCAAUCUGUGGUAGUUAAGGUAAUUAAUAUUAUCUCCUUCCGUAGACAUUUUUGUCCUUUUGAAAUUCUCAUACAGAGUUUUGCUAUAUAUCUGUUCUUUUACUCCUACUAAACCACUUGUGGUAUCUUCUUGAAGUUGAUGCAAGAGAUUGAAGGAUUGAAGGGGUCUCAGUUGAAGCAAACUAUGAAAAUCAGUUCCUUGGAGCAGGAGCUGGUACCAUCUCUCAUCCUGUAGUGUAAUAUGUUUUUGCUCAGCGUUUCUCUACUAUUACAACCAGUUUUCUUUGUUAGAAAAGUUAAUAGGCUUCUUUAAAUUAUUACAUUUAGAACUUGUUUAAUAAUUGAGCAUUUGCAAUUGAAAAUUCAUAAAAAUGCUUCCAUACUAAAUAAAUAAUCAUGGAUUUGCAAAAGGAGAACCAGUAUCAAUAAUCAAUACUGUGUCAAAGUUCCCUGCUCUCAGAAGUUUCAAGUUUAAACUGAUGCUAUAUGUGAUGCUUUUGGUUUUGCUCUUGCUCUAUGGGAGCCGUUACUUGACACUUAACAUAGUUUGUUUCUUGUAUCACUUGUGGUUAUGUAUUCAUAAUUGGACUUGAUUAUAUUUCCUGAUUUUGGUGGUGUUCUGAUGUUCUCCAAACUCUGAAGAAGGCCGAAGUAGGCUAAUAGCAUAGCCUAUAUGAAGAGUUACGAAGAAGCGCAUGAGAAUAUCAAACGGCUCAAGUUCAUUAUUAUCAUCUUGUAUAUUUAUGUAUUUAUAUAUUCUAAAUCAUUCCUUUAUCUAGUUUAUUGGCUGUAAACUUAUGUAGAGUUUCCUGAUCAGGUUGAAUCAAAAGUACAAGUUCAGAAACUGAAUAAGCGGUGCAAUGUGUUGGAAUCUGGAGCAUUUUCUUCAGUUGGGCAUGUGGGAGUAGAGUAUGGAC
rnacentral:lncRNA from 1 species